rnacentral:tRNA from 2 species
GGGCCAUUAGCUCAGUUGGUCAGAGCAACCGGCUCAUAACCGGUCGGUCCUGGGUUCGAGUCCCCGAUGGCCCACCA